AGAGUUUGAUCAUGGCUCAGAUUGAACGCUGGCGGCAGGCCUAACACAUGCAAGUCGAACGGUAACAGGAAACAGCUUGCUGUUUCGCUGACGAGUGGCGGACGGGUGAGUAAUGUCUGGGAAACUGCCUGAUGGAGGGGGAUAACUACUGGAAACGGUAGCUAAUACCGCAUAACGUCGCAAGACCAAAGAGGGGGACCUUCGGGCCUCUUGCCAUCGGAUGUGCCCAGAUGGGAUUAGCUUGUUGGUGGGGUAACGGCUCACCAAGGCGACGAUCCCUAGCUGGUCUGAGAGGAUGACCAGCCACACUGGAACUGAGACACGGUCCAGACUCCUACGGGAGGCAGCAGUGGGGAAUAUUGCACAAUGAGCGCAAGCCUGAUGCAGCCAUGCCGCGUGUAUGAAGAAGGCCUUCGGGUUGUAAAGUACUUUCAGCGGGGAGGAAGGGAGUAAAGUUAAUACCUUUGCUCAUUGACGUUACCCGCAGAAGAAGCACCGGCUAACUCCGUGCCAGCAGCCGCGGUAAUACGGAGGGUGCAAGCGUUAAUCGGAAUUACUGGGCGUAAAGCGCACGCAGGCGGUUUGUUAAGUCAGAUGUGAAAUCCCCGGGCUCAACCUGGGAACUGCAUCUGAUACUGGCAAGCUUGAGUCUCGUAGAGGGGGGUAGAAUUCCAGGUGUAGCGGUGAAAUGCGUAGAGAUCUGGAGGAAUACCGGUGGCGAAGGCGGCCCCCUGGACGAAGACUGACGCUCAGGUGCGAAAGCGUGGGGAGCAAACAGGAUUAGAUACCCUGGUAGUCCACGCCGUAAACGAUGUCGACUUGGAGGUUGUGCCCUUGAGGCGUGGCUUCCGGAGCUAACGCGUUAAGUCGACCGCCUGGGGAGUACGGCCGCAAGGUUAAAACUCAAAUGAAUUGACGGGGGCCCGCACAAGCGGUGGAGCAUGUGGUUUAAUUCGAUGCAACGCGAAGAACCUUACCUGGUCUUGACAUCCACGGAAGUUUUCAGAGAUGAGAAUGUGCCUUCGGGAACCGUGAGACAGGUGCUGCAUGGCUGUCGUCAGCUCGUGUUGUGAAAUGUUGGGUUAAGUCCCGCAACGAGCGCAACCCUUAUCCUUUGUUGCCAGCGGUCCGGCCGGGAACUCAAAGGAGACUGCCAGUGAUAAACUGGAGGAAGGUGGGGAUGACGUCAAGUCAUCAUGGCCCUUACGACCAGGGCUACACACGUGCUACAAUGGCGCAUACAAAGAGAAGCGACCUCGCGAGAGCAAGCGGACCUCAUAAAGUGCGUCGUAGUCCGGAUUGGAGUCUGCAACUCGACUCCAUGAAGUCGGAAUCGCUAGUAAUCGUGGAUCAGAAUGCCACGGUGAAUACGUUCCCGGGCCUUGUACACACCGCCCGUCACACCAUGGGAGUGGGUUGCAAAAGAAGUAGGUAGCUUAACCUUCGGGAGGGCGCUUACCACUUUGUGAUUCAUGACUGGGGUGAAGUCGUAACAAGGUAACCGUAGGGGAACCUGCGGUUGGAUCACCU
rnacentral:rRNA from 1 species